CAGCCGCCGCGGUAAUACGAAGGGGGCUAGCGUUGCUCGGAAUUACUGGGCAUAAAGGGAGCGUAGGCGGGUCGUUUAGUCAGAGGUGAAAUCCCGGGGCUCAACCUCGGAACUGCCUUUGAUACUGGCGACCUUGAGGAUGGGAGAGGUAAGCGGAACUCCGAGUGUAGAGGUGAAAUUCGUAGAUAUUCGGAAGAACACCAGUGGCGAAGGCGGCUUACUGGCCCAUUACUGACGCUGAGGCUCGAAAGCGUGGGGAGCAAACAGGAUUAGAUACCCGCGUAGUCCCUGUCUCUUAUAC
rnacentral:rRNA from 1 species